UACGAAGGGGGCUAGCGUUGUUCGGAAUCACUGGGCGUAAAGCGCACGUAGGCGGAUCCUUAAGUCAGGGGUGAAAUCCCGAGGCUCAACCUCGGAACUGCCUUUGAUACUGGGGAUCUUGAGUCCGGGAGAGGUGAGUGGAAUUGCGAGUGUAGAGGUGAAAUUCGUAGAUAUUCGCAAGAACACCAGUGGCGAAGGCGGCUCACUGGCCCGGUACUGACGCUGAGACGCGAAAGCGUGGGGAGCAAACAGG
rnacentral:rRNA from 1 species